rnacentral:rRNA from 1 species
AAGAGCAGCUUAAAAUUGCAAGUCCCAUAACAUGUCAAGAUCCACCCAGUCUUCCAUGUGAGUCAACUCAAGAAACACAUUGGGGCAAAAUCUAUACCUAGUCAAAAUCUUCCAGUCAAUGCAGAUGGUUCAAUUAAGACAGGCCCAGCUUGAGUUCUCCAAGUUAGACAAGUAUCUCGCAAAAACUUACCACUGGUACAGUGGCACAUUCAAUGGGAAAAUCUCUCACCUGAAGAAGCUACAUGGGAAGAUACCGAUUUCAUUAAACUUUUCCUGGAUUCUUCAAGACAACUAAACGGGCUUGGAAAGCAGCGAGUGAAUCGCCAUGAGGACAUGUCGAGGGCACUGUCAAGUUACUAA